AUAUAGUAGUUCGUUAAUAAUUCUACACAAAUGGCCGAUAUAUACACAAUAUUCCUCUAAUAUCUAAAGAUUUGUCUCGUAGAUUUGCAACAUUGUUGAAUAGUUUAGGUUGAAUGAGCCAUUACGAGGACAUUGUCCUAGCCUUACUGUUCUCUAUAUUAUACACGUAUAAUCUUUAUGCAUUAUUUAUUACACAGUGAACAACGUGAACAACUACG